rnacentral:rRNA from 1 species
UGGGGAAUUUUGGACAAUGGGCGCAAGCCUGAUCCAGCCAUGCCGCGUGCGGGAAGAAGGCCUUCGGGUUGUAAACCGCUUUUGUCAGGGAAGAAAUCUUCUGAGUUAAUACCUCGGGAGGAUGACGGUACCUGAAGAAUAAGCACCAGCUAACUACGUGCCAGCAGCCGCGGUAAUACGUAGGGUGCAAGCGUUAAUCGGAAUUACUGGGCGUAAACGUGCGCAGGCGGUUUUGUAAGACAGAGGUGAAAUCCCCGGGCUCAACCUGGGAACUGCCUUUGUGACUGCAAGGCUUGAGUGCGGCAGAGGGGGAUGGAAUUCCGCGUGUAGCAGUGAAAUGCGUAGAUAUGCGGAGGAACACCGAUGGCGAAGGCAACCCCCUGGGCCUGCACUGACGCUCAUGCACGAAAGCGUGGGGAGCAAACAGGAUUAGAUAGCCCUGGUAGUCCACGCCCUAAACGAUGUCAACUGGUUGUUGGGAAGGUUCCUUCUCAGUAACGUAGCUAACGCGUGAA